rnacentral:rRNA from 1 species
UACGGAGGGUGCGAGCGUUGUCCGGAAUCACUGGGCGUAAAGGGCGCGUAGGCGGCUGGGGAAGUCGGCGGUGAAAGCCCGGAGCUCAACUCCGGGUCGGCCGUCGAGACUCCUCGGCUCGAGCUCACUAGAGGCAGAUGGAAUUCCGGGUGUAGCGGUGGAAUGCGUAGAGAUCCGGAAGAACACCGGUGGCGAAGGCGGUCUGCUGGGGUGAGGCUGAUGCUGAUGUGCGACAGCGUGGGGAGCAAACAGG